rnacentral:rRNA from 1 species
GCAGGUUCAUGUAUGGCCCCGAAACUCCUGGGCCACACGCGGGCUGCAAUGGUAGGGACAAUAGGUUCCGACCUCGAAAGAGGAAGGCAAUCCCCAAACCCUACCCCAGUUGUGAUCGAGGAUUGAAACCCGUCCUCGUGAAUAUGGAAUCCCUAGUAACCGCGUGUCAUCAACCGCGCGGUGAAUAACGUCCCUGCUCCUUGCACAACACCGCCCGUCGCUUCAACCUCGAGUUGGGUCAGGACGAGGUCAUCUACAUGUUGUGGUGAUCGAUCUGU